AUACUUACCUGGACGGGGUCUAUGGGUGAUCAACAAGGCCCACGGCCUAGAUUGGUGGCUUCCAUUGCACUCGGGAGGUGCACCAGUCUAACAUCUCCCCAAGUGGGAGAGUGUACGUCAUAAUUUGUGGUAGAGGGGGCCUGCGUCCGCGCGGCCCCUA